rnacentral:rRNA from 1 species
AAUAGAUACCCUGGUAGUCCACGCCCUAAACGAUGUCUACUAGUUGUCGGGGGGUAACUCCUUCGGUAACGCAGCUAACGCGUGAAGUAGACCGCCUGGGGAGUACGGUCGCAAGAUUAAAACUCAAAGGAAUUGACGGGGACCCGCACAAGCGGUGGAUGAUGUGGAUUAAUUCGAUGCAACGCGAAAAACCUUACCUACCCUUGACAUGCCACUAACGAAGCAGAGAUGCAUUAGGUGCCCGAAAGGGAAAGUGGACACAGGUGCUGCAUGGCUGUCGUCAGCUCGUGUCGUGAGAUGUUGGGUUAAGUCCCGCAACGAGCGCAACCCUUGCCAAUAGUUGCUACGAAAGGGCACUCUAUUGGGGCUGCCGGUGACAAACCGGAGGAAGGUGGGGAUGACGUCAAGUCCUCAUGGCCCUUAUGGGUAGGGCUUCACACGUCAUACAAUGGCUGGUACAGAGGGUUGCCAACCCGCGAGGGGGAGCCAAUCCCGACAAAACCGAGUCGUAGUCCGGAUUGCAGUCUGCAACUCGA